rnacentral:rRNA from 1 species
ACGCUGGCGGCACGCCUAACACAUGCAAGUCGAACGAAGUAGUAAUACUUAGUGGCAGACGGGUGAGUAACAUGUAGGUAUCUGCCCUUUGGCCUGGAAUAACACGAGGAAACUUGUGCUAAUACCGGAUAAGUCUUUACGGAGAAAGCUUUAUGCACCAUUGGAUGAGCCUGCACUUGAUUAGUUUGUUGGUGGGGUAAUGGCCUACCAAGACUGUGAUCAAUAGCUGAUUUGAGAGGAUGAUCAGCCACAUUGGGACUGAGACACGGCCCAAACUCCUACGGGAGGCAGCAGUGGGGAAUCUUGCACAAUGGAGGAAACUCUGAUGCAGCGAUGCCGCGUGAGUGAAGAAGGCCUUUGGGUUGUAAAGCUCUUUCGUCGGGGAAGAAAAUGACUGUACCCGAAUAAGAAGGUCCGGCUAACUUCGUGCCAGCAGCCGCGGUAAUACGAAGGGACCUAGCGUAGUUCGGAAUUACUGGGCUUAAAGAGUUCGUAGGUGGUUGAAAAAGUUGGUGGUGAAAUCCCAGAGCUUAACUCUGGAACUGCCAUCAAAACUUUUCAGCUAGAGUAUGAUAGAGGAAAGCAGAAUUUCUAGUGUAGAGGUGAAAUUCGUAGAUAUUAGAAAGAAUACCAAUUGCGAAGGCAGCUUUCUGGAUCAUUACUGACACUGAGGAACGAAAGCAUGGGUAGCGAAGAGGAUUAGAUACCCUCGUAGUCCAUGCCGUAAACGAUGUGUGUUAGACGUUGGAAAUUUAUUUUCAGUGUCGCAGGGAAACCGAUAAACACACCGCCUGGGGAGUACGACCGCAAGGUUAAAACUCAAAUGAAUUGACGGGGACCCGCACAAGUAGUGGAGCAUGUGGUUUAAUUCGAAGAUACGCGCAGAACCUUACCAACACUUGACAUGUUCGUCGCGACUCUAAGAGAUUAGAGUUUUCGGUUCGGCCGGACGAAACACAGGUGCUGCAUGGCUGUCGUCAGCUCGUGUCGUGAGAUGUUGGGUUAAGUCCCGCAACGAGCGCAACCCUCACUUUUAGUUGCCAUCAUUAAGUUGGGCACUCUAAAAGAACUGCCAGUGAUAAGCUGGAGGAAGGUGGGGAUGACGUCAAGUCCUCAUGGCCCUUACGUGUUGGGCUACACACGUGCUACAAUGGCAUCUACAACAGGAAGCAAAACGGCAACGUUAAGCAAAUCCCGAAAAGAUGCCUCAGUUCGGAUUGCACUCUGCAACUCGAGUGCAUGAAGCUGGAAUUACUAGUAAUCGUGGAUCAGCGUGCCACGGUGAAUGCGUUCCCGGGUCUUGUACACACCGCCCG